rnacentral:ncRNA from 1 species
CUGCGGAGAUCAUUACUGAGUGAGGGCCCUCUGGGUCCAACCUCCCACCCGUGUUUAUUGUACCUUGUUGCUUCGGCGGGCCCGCCUUUAUGGCCGCCGGGGGGCUUACGCUCCCGGGCCCGCGCCCGCCGAAGACACCCUCGAACUCUGUCUGAAGAUUGUAGUCUGAGUGAAAAUAUAAAUUAUUUAAAACUUUCAACAACGGAUCUCUUGGUUCCGGCAUCGAUGAAGAACGCAGCGAAAUGCGAUACGUAAUGUGAAUUGCAGAAUUCAGUGAAUCAUCGAGUCUUUGAACGCACAUUGCGCCCCCUGGUAUUCCGGGGGGCAUGCCUGUCCGAGCGUCAUUGCUGCCCUCAAGCACGGCUUGUGUGUUGGGCCCCGUCCUCCGAUCCCGGGGGACGGGCCCGAAAGGCAGCGGCGGCACCGCGUCCGGUCCUCGAGCGUAUGGGGCUUUGUCACCCGCUCUGUAGGCCCGGCCGGCGCUUGCCGAUCAACCAAAAUUUUUUCCAGGUUGACCUCGGAUCAGGUAGGGAUACCCGCUGAACUUAAGCAUAUCAAUAAGCGGAGGAAAAGAAACCAACAGGGAUUGCCCCAGUAACGGCGAGUGAAGCGGCAAGAGCUCAAAUUUGAAAGCUGACUCCUUCGGGGUCCGCAUUGUAAUUUGCAGAGGAUGCUUCGGGAGCGGUCCCCAUCUAAGUGCCCUGGAACGGGACGUCAUAGAGGGUGAGAAUCCCGUAUGGGAUGGGGUGUCCGCGCCCGUGUGAAGCUCCUUCGACGAGUCGAGUUGUUUGGGAAUGCAGCUCUAAAUGGGUGGUAAAUUUCAUCUAAAGCUAAAUAUUGGCCGGAGACCGAUAGCGCACAAGUAGAGUGAUCGAAAGAUGAAAAGCACUUUGAAAAGAGAGUUAAAAAGCACGUGAAAUUGUUGAAAGGGAAGCGCUUGCGACCAGACUCGCUCGCGGGGUUCAGCCGGCAUUCGUGCCGGUGUACUUCCCCGCGAGCGGGCCAGCGUCGGUUUGGGCGGUCGGUCAAAGGCCCUCGGAAGGUAACGCCCCUAGGGGCGUCUUAUAGCCGAGGGUGCAAUGCGACCUGCCUAGACCGAGGAACGCGCUUCGGCUCGGACGCUGGCAUAAUGGUCGUAAGCGACCCGUCUUGAAACACGGACCAAGGAGUCUAACAUCUACGCGAGUGUUCGGGUGUCAAACCCGUGCGCGCAGUGAAAGCGAACGGAGGUGGGAACCCUUUGGGUGCACCAUCGACCGAUCCUGAUGUCUUCGGAUGGAUUUGAGUAAGAGCGUAGCUGUUGGGACCCGAAAGAUGGUGAACUAUGCCUGAAUAGGGCGAAGCCAGAGGAAACUCUGGUGGAGGCUCGUAGCGGUUCUGACGUGCAAAUCGAUCGUCGAAUUU